rnacentral:rRNA from 1 species
AUUGAACGCUGGCGGCAGGCCUAACACAUGCAAGUCGAACGGUAGCACAGAGAGCUUGCUCUCGGGUGACGAGUGGCGGACGGGUGAGUAACGUCUGGGAAACUGCCCGAUGGAGGGGGAUAACUACUGGAAACGGUAGCUAAUACCGCAUAACGUCGCAAGACCAAAGUGGGGGACCUUCGGCCUCACACCAUCGGAUGGGCCCAGAUGGGAUUAGCUAGUAGGUGGGGUAAUGGCUCACCUAGGCGACGAUCCCUAGCUGGUCUGAGAGGAUGACCAGCCACACUGGAACUGAGACACGGUCCAGACUCCUACGGGAGGCGGCAGUGGGGAAUAUUGCACAAUGGGCGCAAGCCUGAUGCAGCCGUGCCGCGUGUAUGAAGAAGGCCUUCGGGUUGUAAAGUACUUUCAGCGGGGAGGAAGGCGGUGAAGUUAAUAGCUUCACCGAUUGACGUUACCCGCAGAAGAAGCACCGGCUAACUCCGUGCCAGCCGCCGCAGUAA